GUUUGGGUAUGGAAGUUUUGGGUAUAGAAGUUUGGGUAAAGUAAGUUUGGGUAAGCGAUUUCGGCAAAUUAGCUUCGGGUAUACAAGUUUUCUGAAACCCGUCUCGGAACCAUCUCCAAGCACCUCUUGAGUAUACAAGUUUGGGUUAUUGCUCGGUCGAUCGCACUCUGCAAGUCUUGAGAACCAUCUCCAGCUUAUCUUUUUCUCUUUCUUGCCUUAAUUGGUUAAAGAGGUAGUGCUAGUUUGGUUCCUCUUUGACCCGCUUUCAGAACAUGACUCGGCUUCCUUCUUUAACAAUGACCUCCUAAUUUUGGAUGCCUUCCUGAUUCAUAAGGUUUAUGGGAGUGGGGACUUGGCCCCUUGGCAUUACUUUCAUAGGUUGUAUCACCACAAGUUUUAAACUGAUUAGUCUUUGAGGCAUUUAACUUUGGCUAAAGUCUUUGAGGCAUUUCCUUAUCAAUUGAUUCGAUUUUGAUUCGUUCGAUUCUUUUUAUGAACAAAAAUUUGAUUUUAGAUCUGGAUUUUAUAGGAGGUUAGAUGUAACUAAGUACGGAGGUUGGGUGCUCCACUCUGUCUGCCUUCAGAAGGCAACUUUAUUUA